ensembl:lncRNA
GCGUUUUCACGUUGAGCAUGUUGGACUGGAAACAUCCCGCCCCUCUUUGACGAACCCGAAGCUCUGAGUCGAGGUGCCAAGAGCGAGUGAAGUUGUCGAUGAUGAUUUUGUGCGGCUUUUACAGCAAGAUGGAUUAUUUGUAUGUUUCACAGUUUAAUGAGGGCUCGCAGUGUUUGACAGUUCUCCAACUUAACAGAGAGAUGUGCCCAAAAGGAUGACAUUCUGUAAACUCCGAGUGUUAAACGGCGCUGUGGCGGUUCUUUGGCUCCGGGGCUCAUUUACGAGAGCGUCGCUUUAAAGCAGCGGUCCUAUUUGUUUAAUAGAGCCAUCCAAUUUCCCUGCGGGAUGCCUGCGAGGUGCCGUCAGCGCUUCAAUGUGUCAAUACUGACUGGUGAGGAAAACAAGAAAACCACCUGCCUGCUGCUCUGGUUAUUGCGCAAACACGCACACAUUCCCUCUCUCUGUCUCUCAGACACACACACCAUCCAGCGUUUUGCUGAUUCAUAACUGGGCAGUCACAUCAUUGUGUGUAUGACACACACAGUUCAAAGAGCGUCCUAUUUUGGCCGCCGUCUCACCCAGAAAGGGGAAGUACUUCAAUAUUUUAAUGCGAGAGGCUCUUCCGGAGUUGCUCUCCAAGUGUUCCCAGAAGCAGCUGAUACAAAAGGCUGUCCAGACCCAAAUCCGAUCAGCAGAACAGACAAGAAAACCCCUAAAGACGCUCUGCUGGAAGCGAAUGCAUGCUGCAGACGCCUAUGGGCUUCAAAUCAGCAAACAGCACUGGAAUGACGCACCCCUGGCUAAAAGGCAGAAGCGGAAGAAGAAAAGCAGAGAGGCUGUGAUGUAACUACAGCACUGGACUCAGCGCAGAUGGGAGCAGACGGACGGACGGCAGCGAGGAUGACAUCACUGUUACCCGUGGGAGCCUGGGCCUGUCAUUCUUGGUGUCACUUCCUGGGAGAGAAUAGAAGAGGAAGCCAGAGCGAGAGCCGACAACGGGCGCUCCCCUCACCUCCACAAGGAAGCCUUUUUCCCCCGAGAGCAUAAUGUGUGUCCGCUUGUGUCCCUCGCUCACUCCUGCAUUCAUCCCACAGAGGGCUGGUGCUGGUUCAGAAUUUGUGUAAGCCCUGAUUGUUUUCAUUUUCUUUGGGCUCAAGUCUGAGCCUUUUCCAACAAAUCCUUUGAAGAGCUUAUUAUUUUACAUUUCAACGGUAGUUAAAAUAAGUCACAGUGGUGACUUUAUGGGUACGGAUGCAGUAAGCUGUGCCUCUGCAGGCUUUAUUUUGCUGCCCUGGGUCAGCAGUGUUUGGGGAAAAGCUCCGUUUGGAGGGAUAAAAAAACGUGGAGGCCACAGUGACGUCACCUGAUGGUGUUGGACUCUGGGUCGGGGUGAGGCUCGAUCCCUAGCAUUUUGGCCACUGCCACACUUUGUUUCUAUGCUGGAGUUUUCCCAUAUUGGACAAAAGGGGCGAGUGAUACAUUAAAGGUAAUCCUAGCAAGGUUAGCAAGCUGCAUGUGUAGCUUGCAUGGGUCCAGUGGACGCACAUCAUUUCUAAUUAGUCCUUUCCCUGAAUGGUGUAAGCCUCACAUAUUUGUCAGGUGAUUCUGUUUAACUCCAAAAGGCUCCAACAGGAACAGUCCAGUUUGACUCCAGUCUGCACAGAGCCCUCAGUUAACCCCUCAACAUCCACUCGUGUCACCAGAUCAACGAUUAUUCGUAUUGCUGUUUGUUGAUAUUGUGUUACUGUUGUAAAAUGCAGUGACGUGGCUGAAACUACAGCGAGUCAUCAGAAAGAUCAAUGAGCUUCUCUUCCUGUUGGAGUGUUCACAGACAAGAUAAUGGCUGAAAUAAGUUAGUAAGCUCUAUUUAAAUGCCAGCUCGUCAUGAACUUUGAUUUUCUUUUUUAAUCAUGAGGCUUUGUGAUGAUUCAUGUCUGUGUUAAGGUGCUAGCGUAGCUGAUUCAGAGCUGCUAAUGAGUAGAUGUGUUGUUCUACUUGUUUGUCUUCAUCCAACUGAGCAACUCAAACGUAACCAGCUUAGUGCAUACACAGCAUCUUUGUACUAUCCAUCACAUCUACUGUGCAGGCAUACAAAGCAGACACACAUCCUGCUACCUGAUUUGUUUUACACAAAUCCUGAACUCAAAAUGAGCAGGACGCGCUGUGGUUUAGGCGCUGGCAGGCUCUGGUGAGUCUGUGUUUAAAGGCAAAGAAAGGAUGGAAAGAUGACUGCAAUGUAAAAAUGAAAUUAAAGAUGUCCAGGUUUCGGUCCCCGGGACAAGUCACAGCUUUGUUGGAUUGUUUUGUACCGCCGCUGUUUCAUGAAAUGUAUUCCUGGCUGCCCUACAGUGGAUUUGCUUCUGACCUUUGACCUCUCUAACCAACACAAGUGUAUCAAAGCUGAGCCCUCCCUUUGAGGACCCGCAUGGACGUUAUAGAUGUAAUGUCGCCCUCUUGUGUGUGAAUAUAAAAUUGCAGGAUUAAUAUACGAUGUCUUUACAAAACACUGUCUGGUGAAUUUCAGCACUUCUCAGUGUGAGAUCGUAACAUCGGAUGUGGGCAGCUGUUAGAUGGCUCCGCCCUCCAAAGCCUCCACCUCUCUGCAGCACCGACAGCGUAAAGACUUUGUAACCUGGAGGCUCCGAUCGUGGGACACACCUCUGAUCAUCUGACACCCAUGUUUCAAACACCUGGGAGGGCCGCUGGGACAAUGCAUGUACUGUUAGAUUUGUUGUCAUGACGACCUUGCUGGUUAUGUAAGCACUGGGCUCUGGUUCCCACAAACAGUGGUGCACGCAGGUCUUUGUGCUGUGACACUAGAAACCACACACACAGUCACAGUUUGUACAUUCCUCCAGCUGCUCACAUGUCACCCUGCAGCGACUGCAACGAGACAUUUAACCCUCAGAGAUGAUCCAAACCUUAACCCUGUGCUAUCAGCAUGUGUGCUUAAGGUGAGGGCUGUGGCCGACUCGGGGCUGAUACUUUGUUGCAGUUUAACAUCAAGAAUUUGGGUGGCACAGUUUCUUUCAGUAAUUCAGUAAAUUUGUUUCAGUUCCCACCAAAACUGAAGUAAGCUUGCUGGUUUUCUUGGAUUUUUGCUGAUUUCUUGAGCUUGGCCACAAUUUCUCUGGUUGGCUGUUAGUUUCACAACUCCUCCAGUCUGCAUGUUGAGAUGUCAUGUGUGCCACAGGCACAGUACUUUGAGUAAUAAGUGCUAUAGUGAUGCAGUUGGUUAAACUAGCAGGUUCCUCUCUGUAACCUUGAUUGAAUCCAAAGAUUUCGUGACCCUAAAGCAGACUCACAUUUACCAGCUUCUCUGUUGCUCAGGUGCUUCUUCACAUGCUCUGUCUCUCUGGCAACAGCCUGGAAAUGCUGCUGCUCUGGACCAACAACAAUAAAUGUGUGUGUAGAGGUACCCAUGUGUCCGUCUGUACUGAUGGAGCUGAUGUGCCACAUAGAUUUGGCUCUGUAAAGUUAAAUGACGUUGAGCAUACUCAUGUACAUAUCCAUCCAUUCACACUGGUUUUCCUCUCUUACGUCAUGUGGUUCUGUUUUUCUUCUUCCCCUCUGUGUCUGUGGAAGGUGGCAGGUCGUGAGCGUAGACUGACGUGGACUAGAGUGAGUGCUCGUCAUUAUGCUUGUGAUGUCUGAGAGAGCACAAACGCCGUUCACAGUAGCCUCUAUGCAUUCCUCCUGUGGCAGGCGUCCCUGUCUUAUGCUGUCAGCCUCACUUUUUAUGUGACGUCUGUUCUGUUUGAAUUCAUCUUCAUUGCUGGAAGCAAGUAUUCAGGUGCCAGCUGCUCAUGAUGCUGGACUGGCAUAGCAACAGCAGCAAAAAGAAGAGCUGUCACACAGUGCACAGAGCGCAGCAGGGCUGAGAUCACCGUGAUGAGCAGGGCAAAGCCUGCCUCCUCUCUACGACUCACAUUAGACAAGUUGUCCAAAAAUGGUCCAACAGAGAAAAAGUGAAGGUUGAAGGAGAGAGAUCACAGAAAGUCGAUGACAAGCAGCUACAGGGUCACCUAGGCAACUGGAGCCUGGAAUGUCCGCUAGCAACCAAUCGUCAGCUUCAAAGCAAUGCACGACAGCUCGAUGACUUCCUGUGUGGAUGAAAAGUGUUAUAGCUCAUGUUCACAUGCAGUGAAUGCUGAUUCUGAUGGUUGUUUUAAAGUUUGAGGGGUUUUCCAAGUGAAUGUUUGCAGGUAUCCACACAGACUUCAGACAGGCCUGCCUUUAAGUCCUAAAUUUUAAAAUAGUAGACAACUUUCUGUGCUAGAGGUAUCAUAUAUGCAAUGAUAGCAAUAAUAUUUUAAAAUUUAAUAAUACAAAUAAAAAGCUGGUAGUUGUUCUUUUUGUACAUGGUUAUAGGAUUUUCAGUGUAGUUCCCUUGCUUCUGUAGAUUUGAUAAUGAUACCAUUACAUUUCCUUUGUUUUUGCUCAUAGUUGUGGAGUGAAAAUGUAAUAAUGUGACAGUAAAUAUGGAAU